CGCUCUUUGCAAAAUAAUUUUAGUAUAAAGAGUACUGCCUGCCCAGUGACGUUGUUAAACGGCCGCGGUAUCUUGACCGUGCAAAGGUAGCAUAAUCAUUUGCCUUUUAAAUGAGGGCUGGUAUGAAUGGCAAGACGGGGGUUAAGCUGUCUUUUUCUUUUAUCUUGAAAUUAAUAUUUUUGUGAAGAAGCAAAAAUUUAUUCGUAGGACGAGAAGACCCUAUCGAGCUUAAGUAAAAAUUACUAGCUGUAGUUUUGUUUCUAGGGUCUAAUUCUACUAAGGUUUAGUGAAAAAAGUUAACCCUCGAAAGAAAAAUUGUAUAGUGUGAGUAUUUUGAUUGGGGCAAUCGUGGAGAAGAUAAAUCCUCCAUUAAGUUAAAUAAAAGAUACAACUUUGUUGAAGAAUAAAAAUGAUCCGGCGGGAGUGUCGAGCAAAGGAAUAAGUUACCGUAGGGAUAACAGCGUAAUUUUUUUGGAGAGUUCAUAUUGAUAAAAAAGUUUGCGACCUCGAUGUUGGAUCGGGAUUCCCAGGAGAUGCAGCAGUUUCCAAGGGUUGGUCUGUUCGACCAUUAAAAUCCU
rnacentral:rRNA from 1 species